AUGGGGCUUUGGACCUUUAAUCAGGCAUUAGCACGCCGAGAGCUUAUGAGGAUGAUAGUCUUGCAUGAAUUGGCAUUCUCAUUGGUGGAGUAUGAUGGAUUUAGAAGAUUUGUCUCUAGUCUAAAUCCUAGCUUUAAGAUGAUAUGUAGAAAAACAGUGAAGGAGGACUGCAUGAAAGCAUUUAAGGAAGAG
rnacentral:rRNA from 1 species